rnacentral:sRNA from 1 species
GGAGCAGCAACGAUGUUACGCAGCAGGGCAGUCGCCCUAAAACAAAGUUAUGCCGCACCCACCCCUA